AGCAAACACUCAGGGCUCAGCUUAAGUAGAUCGUCUGGACUUGUGGGUGUAUGUGGAGAUUCCAAUUGAGGCAGCCCAAGGCUAUUUUGGCUAUUAGUGCACUCGGGUACCUUGACUACAGGCUGUGUGUUACCUAAAAUUGUGCUACCUCCUGUGUUUAUUACAUCUGACAAAUAUUGUUCAACCUCGUGCUAAGGUCUCGUACAGGUUGAGAUUUCGUGUUCACAUCCCAGUAUAUACAAGUGAGAUGGCCUCAAAAAGUUCAGUUGAAAUUCAGAACACUGCAGCUAAUGAGUGAAUUACAGGAAUGGCUGCUGGAAAUUGUCCAGGAGAAGCGUAACCAAGAG